rnacentral:rRNA from 1 species
AACUUUCAACAACGGAUCUCUUGGCUCUCGCAUCGAUGAAGAACGCAGCGAAAUGCGAUAAGUAGUGUGAAUUGCAGAACUUUGUGAACCAUCGAAUCUUUGAACGCAAAUUGCGCCUUUUUCGGAAGGCAUGUCUGUUUGAGGGCACCAUU